AUUGAACGCUGGCGGCAUGCCUUACACAUGCAAGUCGAACGGCAGCACGGGAGCAAUCCUGGUGGCGAGUGGCGAACGGGUGAGUAAUAUAUCGGAACGUGCCCAGUCGUGGGGGAUAACGUAGCGAAAGCUACGCUAAUACCGCAUACGAUCUAGGGAUGAAAGCGGGGGAUCGCAAGACCUCGCGCGAUUGGAGCGGCCGAUAUCAGAUUAGGUAGUUGGUGAGGUAAAGGCUCACCAAGCCGACGAUCUGUAGCUGGUCUGAGAGGACGACCAGCCACACUGGGACUGAGACACGGCCCAGACUCCUACGGGAGGCAGCAGUGGGGAAUUUUGGACAAUGGGCGCAAGCCUGAUCCAGCAAUGCCGCGUGCAGGAUGAAGGCCUUCGGGUUGUAAACUGCUCUUGUACGGAACGAAACGGCGAGCUCUAAUACAGUUUGCUAAUGACGGUACCGUAAGAAUAAGCACCGGCUAACUACGUGCCAGCCGCCGCAGUAA
rnacentral:rRNA from 1 species